rnacentral:rRNA from 1 species
GACGAACCACACGAACGUUAUUCGGAAUUACUGGGCUUAAAGGGUGCGUAGGCGGCGCGGUAAGUAGGGUGUGAAAUCCCUCGGCUCAACCGAGGAGCUGCGCUCUAAACUACCGUGCUUGAGGGAGGUAGAGGUGAGCGGAACUUAGGGUGGAGCGGUGAAAUGCGUAGAUAUCAGGAGGAACACCGGUGGCGAAGGCGGGUCUCUGGGCCGAUACUGACGCUGAGGAGCGAAAGCGUGGGGAGCGAACAGG